rnacentral:rRNA from 1 species
CCUACGGGAGGCUGCAGUAGGGAAUUUUUCACAAUGGGCGAAAGCCUGAUGGAGCAACGCCGCGUGCAGGAUGAAGGCCUUAGGGUUGUAAACUGCUUUUAUAAGCGAGAAAUAUGAUGGUAACUUAUGAAUAAGGAUUGGCUAACUACGUGCCAGCAGCCGCGGUCAUACGUAGGCUCCGAGCAUUAUCCGGAGUGACUGGGUGUAAAGAGUUGCGUAGGUGGCAUAAUAAGUAGCUAGUGAAAUCUGGUGGCUAAACCAUUCAGACUAUUAUCUAAACUGUUAAGCUCGAGACCGUUAGGGGUAACUGGAAUUUCUAGUGUAGGAGUGAAAUCCGUAGAUAUUAGAAGGAACACCAAUAGCGUAGGCAGGUUGCUGGGACGGUUCUGACACUAAGGCACGAAAGCGUAGGGAGCAAACGGGAUUAGAUACCCCAGUAGUC